UACGUAGGGGGCAAGCGUUGUCCGGAUUUAUUGGGCGUAAAGCGCACGCAGGCGGUCUCUUAAGUUUCGAGUGACAGGUCAGGGCUUAACUCUGACAGGCCUUGGAAAACUGGGAGACUUGAGGGCGAGAGAGGGACGCGGAAUUCCAGGUGGAGCGGUGAAAUGCGUAGAUAUUGGGAGGAACACCAGUGGCGAAGGCGGCUCACUGGACCGGAACUGACGCUGAGGCGCGAAAGCGUGGGGAGCAAACAGG
rnacentral:rRNA from 1 species